CCCCCGCUCCUCCUCCGUCGCCAACUACCCACUCCUGCGCGCGCUUAACCCUCAGCGCGCCGCGGGGCGGGGACGGGGGCGCGCACUGGGCUGGGGGGAGGGUGGGGUAGCAGUUACGCUUCGGCUGACUACUACUUCGGGGUGCGCCUGGAGAUUUUAAUUUUAUUCCGAGGUUUGCUGCAGCAGCUCUUGGUUGGAAAAAGGAAAGAAAGAAAUCUGCCGUGUGUGUGGGCCCCGCAGGGUUUGGGGGGCGCAACGAAAGCACCCGGGAGCAAAACGCAGGGGCAAGUCCCAUUCACAGCCCGGAGGACCUGAGCUUCGCCCCACAACCCGCCGGCAGAUGAGCGGUGGUCUAGGGCCGGUCUGCGAGACAAGGCUCCGGCUCGGGGAGUCGGCCUCUCUCCACGUUGGCCCACCCACCGCCAGGACGAAAGAAACAACCACGCGAGUUCCCGGGUUCGGCUUGCGUAUUUCGGUCACUUUUCAAGCCGGGA
rnacentral:lncRNA from 1 species